rnacentral:rRNA from 1 species
UACGUAGGGUGCGAGCGUUAUCCGGAAUUAUUGGGCGUAAAGAGCUCGUAGGCGGUUUGUCGCGUCUGCCGUGAAAGUCCGGGGCUCAACUCCGGAUCUGCGGUGGGUACGGGCAGACUAGAGUGCAGUAGGGGAGACUGGAAUUCCUGGUGUAGCGGUGAAAUGCGCAGAUAUCAGGAGGAACACCGAUGGCGAAGGCAGGUCUCUGGGCUGUAACUGACGCUGAGGAGCGAAAGCAUGGGGAGCGAACAGG